ACGAACGCUGGCGGCGUGCCUAAUACAUGCAAGUCGAACGGUCUUUCUAUGGAAGCUUGCUUCCACUGAGAAGAUAGUGGCGAACGGGUGAGUAACACGUGGGUAACCUGCCCAUAAGAGGGGGAUAACAUCCGGAAACGGGUGCUAAUACCGCAUAGUUUUCUUGAUCGCAUGAUCGGGAAAGGAAAGACGGCCUUUGUGCUGUCGCUUAUGGAUGGACCCGCGGCGUAUUAGUUAGUUGGUGAGGUAACGGCUCACCAAGACGAUGAUACGUAGCCGACCUGAGAGGGUGAUCGGCCACAUUGGGACUGAGACACGGCCCAAACUCCUGCGGGAGGCAGCAGUAGGGAAUCUUCCGCAAUGGACGAAAGUCUGACGGAGCAACGCCGCGUGAGUGAAGAAGGUUUUCGGAAUCGUAAAACUCUGUUGUCAGAGAAGAACAAGUUGGAGAGUAACUGCUCCAGCCUUGACGGUAUCUGACCAGAAAGCCACGGCUAACUACGUGCCAGCAGCAGC
rnacentral:rRNA from 1 species